UAACCUACCUAUAAGACUGGGAUAACUUCGGGAAACCGGAGCUAAUACCGGAUAAUAUUUCGAACCGCAUGGUUCGAUAGUGAAAGGUGGUUUUGCUAUCACUUAUAGAUGGACCCGCGCCGUAUUAGCUAGUUGGUAAGGUAACGGCUUACCAAGGCGACGAUACGUAGCCGACCUGAGAGGGUGAUCGGCCACACUGGAACUGAGACACGGUCCAGACUCCUACGGGAGGCAGCAGAU
rnacentral:rRNA from 1 species